GGCGAACGCUGGCGGCGUGCUUAACACAUGCAAGUCGAACGGAAAGGCCCUGCUUUUGUGGGGUGCUCGAGUGGCGAACGGGUGAGUAACACGUGAGUAACCUGCCCUUGACUUUGGGAUAACUUCAGGAAACUGGGGCUAAUACCGGAUAGGAGCUCCUGCUGCAUGGUGGUGGUUGGAAAGUUUCGGCGGUUGGGGAUGGACUCGCGGCUUAUCAGCUUGUUGGUGGGGUAGUGGCUUACCAAGGCUUUGACGGGUAGCCGGCCUGAGAGGGUGACCGGCCACAUUGGGACUGAGAUACGGCCCAGACUCCUACGGGAGGCAGCAGUGGGGAAUAUUGCACAAUGGGCGGAAGCCUGAUGCAGCAACGCCGCGUGCGGGAUGACGGCCUUCGGGUUGUAAACCGCUUUCGCCUGUGACGAAGCGUGAGUGACGGUAAUGGGUAAAGAAGCACCGGCUAACUACGUG
rnacentral:rRNA from 1 species